GACGAACGCUGGCGGCGUGCUUAACACAUGCAAGUCGAGCGGUAAGGCCCUUCGGGGUACACGAGCGGCGAACGGGUGAGUAACACGUGGGUGACCUGCCCUCCACUUCGGGAUAAGCCUGGGAAACUGGGUCUAAUACCGGAUAGGACCAUUGGAUGCAUGUCUGGUGGUGGAAAGUUUUUUCGGUGGGGGAUGGGCCCGCGGUCUAUCAGCUUGUGGGUGGGGUGAUGGCCUACCAAGGCGACGACGGAUAGCCGGCCUGGGAGGGUGAUCGGCCACACUGGGACUGAGACACGGCCCAGACUCCUACGGGAGGCAGCAGUGGGGAAUCUUGCGCAAUGGGCGGAAGCCUGACGCAGCAACGCCGCGUGAGGGAUGACGGCCUUCGGGUUGUAAACCUCUUUCGCGAUCGACGAAGGUCCGCCUUGUUGGUGGGCUGACGGUAGGUCGAGAAGAAGCACCGGCCAACUACGUGCCAGCCGCCGCUGUAACAC
rnacentral:rRNA from 1 species